UACGUAGGGGGCAAGCGUUAUCCGGAUUUACUGGGUGUAAAGGGAGCGUAGACGGCAGUGCAAGUCUGAUUUGAAAGGCAGGGGCUCAACCCCUGGACUGCAUUGGAAACUGCACGGCUGGAGUGCCGGAGAGGUAAGCGGAAUUCCUAGUGUAGCGGUGAAAUGCGUAGAUAUUAGGAGGAACACCAGUGGCGAAGGCGGCUUACUGGACGGUAACCGACGUUGAGGCUAGAAAGCGUGGGGAGCAAAC
rnacentral:rRNA from 1 species